UUUGAUUCUCAUCCUUUUGGAUGAUAUCAAGUAUAUUUUUUUGUUCUUAUCAGUUUAGUACGUGAUAUGUUCUCUGUCCAAGGAAAAUAUAUUAAAUGGAUUUUGGAGCAGGGAGAUGGAGCAGAGCUUGAUCCAUCCAUCCACUCUUCAGUCUGUUAGAACACACCUCUGGGAAUGGUACACCCCCU
ensembl:snRNA U2 U2 spliceosomal RNA